rnacentral:tRNA from 1 species
GGCACUAUGGCCGAGUGGUUAAGGCGAAAGACUUGAAUCAUCUUUUGGGAUUCUCCCGCGUCGGUUCAAAUCCGGCUGGUGUCG